UGGGGAAUUUUGGACAAUGGGCGAAAGCCUGAUCCAGCAAUGCCGCGUGUGUGAAGAAGGCCUUCGGGUUGUAAAGCACUUUUGUCCGGAAAGAAAUCCUUGGCUCUAAUACAGUCGGGGGAUGACGGUACCGGAAGAAUAAGCACCGGCUAACUACGUGCCAGCAGCCGCGGUAAUACGUAGGGUGCAAGCGUUAAUCGGAAUUACUGGGCGUAAAGCGUGCGCAGGCGGUUUGCUAAGACCGAUGUGAAAUCCCCGGGCUCAACCUGGGAACUGCAUUGGUGACUGGCAGGCUAGAGUAUGGCAGAGGGGGGUAGAACUCCACGUGUAGCAGUGAAAUGCGUAGAGAUGUGGAGGAAUACCGAUGGCGAAGGCAGCCCCCUGGGCCAAUACUGACGCUCAUGCACGAAAGCGUGGGGAGCAAACAGGAUUAGAUACCCUGGUAGUCCACGCCCUAAACGAUGUCAACUAGUUGUUGGGGAUUCAUUUCCUUAGUAACGUAGCUAACGCGUGAAGUUGACCGCCUGGGGAGUACGGUCGCAAGAUUAAAACUCAAAGGAAUUGACGGGGUCAUAGCUGUUU
rnacentral:rRNA from 1 species